GGGGCCACCCGGGGAUUGAACCCGGGACCUCUCGCAAUGCAAAUGCUGUAGGGUGUACCCUAAGCGAGAAUCAUACCACUAGACCAGCGGCCC